rnacentral:lncRNA from 1 species
GGUGGUAGCUAGGUUUCUAACUGCUUGCGGGGGAUAUUACAGAUAAGCAAGGGAGGAAGCUAGAAUGAUUUAUGUAAUAUGGAUCAGAAUUGCAGACAUCACUACAAACUCAUGUUUGGCUUAAUAUAGAUGGCUACAUAUAGAAAUAUUCAUGGGUAUUUGUAUAUUAAAGAGGUAGCAUACACACGUAUUUCAUUGCUCUAUCUGCUGAGAGGGCCUAGAUGCAAACACAUUCCAGCAGCAACUAACCGACCGCCCCCACCCCCACACCUCCGAUCCUGCUAUCUAACUCCAUGCCUUCAACAAAAGGAGUCAGGGCUCUUUGCAGAAAUGCUGGAUUCAGGAAAUACACCAGAUGAGCCUGGAGUACUGUGUAGUGCCAGAAAGUUAAAACGUGCUCAAAACAACAAACAAUGAUGGGGCAAGGGGAUACAAGAGCCAAAUCAAAGAGUUUUUAGCAGCCACAUUAAAACAAUUUGUGCAAUGAAAUAAAGAAGUACUUAUAAUACAAGGUAUAAAACAAAUAUCCAUGAUUCUUUACUGAUAAAAAUAAAUAAAUGACUGAAUAAAGCAAUAAAUGGGAGAGGACAGACAAAUCUAUGCAAAAGAAUUCCAAAUACUUGACAUAACUGUUUUAACUGUUUUAACUGCCUUUAAGGAGGUAGAGCAAAACUUUCCACUCUGUAAGUGCAUGUAAGUGCAGACCAUGCAUAACGACUUUUUUUUUUUUCCCCAAAAAGUACUUCAUGGAAAGAAAAACAGUAACUUUACAAAUACUAUCUCAAGCCAGGUGAUCAAGGUUAACAUCAACAGUGAUAAGUCAUAAUGAUAGUAUGUACCCUUCAAAUUAUAUGAUGAGAAUGCCAUCUUACCUCUCUGUCUUCCUCCCAAAAACAUAUUAACCAUGAGGAAAACAUCAAAUUCCAGUUAAAGGAGAUUCUACAAAAUAGGCCUGACCAGUAAUCUUCAAAAUUGUGAAGAUCACCAAAAUUGUCAAGAUCACCAAAAAUCUGAAAAACAGUCACAGUCCAGGGGAGCCUAAGGAGGAUAAGAACUAAAUGUGGUCCCAGACAAGAUCCUGGAACAGAAAAUGAACACUAAGGGAAAACUAAGGAAAUAUGAACAAGGAGAUUCCAUGAAAGGAGAGAGGCUGGCACAGCUGGUUGUUCUAUGGCCAUGAGGAGAAGCAUGACAAGAGAGAAGAGAUGCCACUAGAUGAAAAGAACUCUCCAGAGAAGAGUGGAGGCCCAAACUGGGAAGUUAGCUGUAGCAGCUGAUGUCACAAAGCCUGGCUGAGGACCAAAGAGAAACAGGUUCGUUUGGAAGUUCGUAUCUGAGCAGACUGGCUCAACCAGAAGUCCAGAAAAGUGUGGACCAGCUUCAACAGGACAGCACUAACACAGACUACUGCAGUCUCUGCACAGAGAGGCCUAAAGGAGAGGUCACAGCAGUACUCUGCAGGAAGGGUGCUCAAGAGCAACUAGAGGCAAGUGCUCUACUGUGGCUGCCCUCCUUCCUAAGAGGUGAAGGAUGGACAGGUAAGAGGAGGAGAUGGUUUGGAUUUGUGUCCUCUCCCAAAUAUGUCAAAUUGUAAUCCGCAGUAUGGGAGGUGGGGCCUGGCAGGAGGUAGUGGAUCAUAGGGGCGGAUUUCCCCAUUUGGUGCUGUUCUGGUGAUACAGAGUUUUCACAAGAUGUGGUUGUUUAAAAGUGUGUGGCACCCCUCCCUACCCCCACCACUUCCUCCCGUUCCGGCCAUGUAAAGUGCUGGCUUCCCCUUUGCCUUCUGCCAUGAUCAUAAGUUUCCUGAAGCCUCCCCAGAAGGCUAGCUGAUGCUGCCAUGUUUCCUGUACGGCCUGCA